AUUGAACGCUGGCGGCAUGCUUUACACAUGCAAGUCGAACGGCAGCACGGGGGCAACCCUGGUGGCGAGUGGCGAACGGGUGAGUAAUGCAUCGGAACAUACCCAGUCGUGGGGGAUAACGUAGCGAAAGUUACGCUAAUACCGCAUACGUCCUGAGGGAGAAAGCGGGGGAUCUUCGGACCUCGCGCGAUUGGAGUGGCCGAUGUCAGAUUAGCUAGUUGGUAGGGUAAAGGCCUACCAAGGCGACGAUCUGUAGCGGGUCCGAGAGGAUGAUCCGCCACACUGGGACUGAGACACGGCCCAGACUCCUACGGGAGGCAGCAGUGGGGAAUUUUGGACAAUGGGGGCAACCCUGAUCUAGCCAUGCCGCGUGCGGGAAGAAGGCCUUCGGGUUGUAAACCGCUUUCGGACGGAAAGAAAUCGUUCUGGCUAAUACCUGGUGUGGAUGACGGUACCGGAAUAAGAAGCACCGGCUAACUACGUGCCAGCAGCCGCCGUAACAC
rnacentral:rRNA from 1 species